rnacentral:rRNA from 1 species
UACGAAGGGGGCUAGCGUUGUUCGGAAUUACUGGGCGUAAAGCGUACGUAGGCGGAUUGUUAAGUGAGGGGUGAAAUCCCGAGGCUCAACCUCGGAACUGCCUUUCAUACUGGCAAUCUUGAGUCCGGGAGAGGUGAGUGGAACUCCUAGUGUAGAGGUGAAAUCGUAGAUAUUAGGAAGAACACCAGUGGCGAAGGCGGCUCACUGGCCCGGAACUGACGCUGAGGUACGAAAGCGUGGGGAGCAAACAGG